CCCUUAGAUGUCCUGGGCGGCCCGCGCGCUACAAUGUCAGCUACUGAAGGUUAAUGCUUUGAAAGAGAGCGCGCUCUCCUUUUAAUUGCUCGCAUGCUGGGAUAAAUGAAUGCAAUUUUGUUUUGAACGAGGAAUUCCUAGUAGCCAUGUUUCACUAGAAGAUGGCGAAUGCGUCCCUGCCCUUUGUACACACCGCCCGUCGCUCCUACCGAUGAGCGUUUUGGCGAAGACGGUUUGAGUAGCUGCGUAAUUUCGUGUUGUUGGCUCCGGCAGUUUGAGCCUUCACGUUUAGAGGAAGGAGAAGUCGUAACA
rnacentral:rRNA from 1 species